UUUAGCUAUAAAAAAUUGACCCGCGGUAUACUGCAGACAAAAUAUUCAAAAUUUUAAAAUCUACCAUAUAUUGUUACUUAA
rnacentral:sRNA from 1 species